rnacentral:rRNA from 1 species
UACGGGAGGCAGCAGUGGGGAAUAUUGCACAAUGGGCGCAAGCCUGAUGCAGCCAUGCCGCGUGUAUGAAGAAGGCCUUCGGGUUGUAAAGUACUUUCAGUCGUGAGGAAGGUGUUAAGGUUAAUAACCUUAGCAAUUGACGUUAGCGACAGAAGAAGCACCGGCUAACUCCGUGCCAGCAGCCGCGGUAAUACGGAGGGUGCGAGCGUUAAUCGGAAUUACUGGGCGUAAAGGGCACGCAGGCGGUUAAUUAAGUUGGAUGUGAAAUCCCCGGGCUUAACCUGGGAAUGGCAUUCAAGACUGGUUAGCUAGAGUCUUGUAGAGGGGGUAGAAUUCCAUGUGUAGCGGUGAAAUGCGUAGAGAUGUGGAGGAAUACCGGUGGCGAAGGCGGCCCCUGGCAAAGGACUGACGCUCAUGUGCGAAAGCGUGGGGAGCAAACAGGGAUUAGAUACC